GAUGAACGCUAGCUACAGGCUUAACACAUGCAAGUCGAGGGGUAACGAGAGGAAAGCUUGCUUUCCUUGUCGACGACCGGCGCACGGGUGAGUAACGCGUAUCCAAUCUGCCCCCAACUAGGGAAUAACCUUGCGAAAGUAAGACUAAUACCCUAUAAUUUCCUCAGAUGUCAUCUGACGAGGAAUAAAGAUUUAUCGGUUGUGGAUGGGGAUGCGUCUGAUUAGCUUGUUGGCGGGGUAACGGCCCACCAAGGCAACGAUCAGUAGGGGUUCUGAGAGGAAGGUCCACGACAUUGGAAAUGAGACACGGGCCAAACUCCUACGGGAGGCAGCAGUGAGGAAUAUUGGUCAAUGGGCGGAAGCCUGAACCAGCCAAGUAGCGUGCAGGAUGACGGCCCUAUGGGUUGUAAACUGCUUUUAUACAGGAAUAAAGUUAGCCACGUGUGGUUAUUUGUAGGUACUGUAUGAAUAAGGACCGGCUAAUUCCGUGCCAGCCGCCGCCGUAA
rnacentral:rRNA from 1 species